AACGAACGCUGGCGGCAUGCCUAACACAUGCAAGUCGAACGAGACCUUCGUGUCUAGUUGCGCACGUGUGCGUAACGCGUGGGAACCUGCCCUUAGGUUCCGAAUCACUCCCCGAAAGGGGUGCUAAUACCGGAUAAUUUCUUCGGACCAAAGAUUUAUCGCCUUUGGAUGGGCCCGCGUUGGUUUAGCUGGUUGGUAGGGUAAAAGCCUACCAAGGCUACGAUCCAUAGCUGGUCUGGGAGGAUGAUCAGCCACACUGGACCUGAGACACGGCCCAGAAUAGUAGGGGAGGGAGGAGAGGGGAAUAUAGGACGAGGGGGGAAAGGCUGAUCCAGCAAGGCCGGGUGAGUGAUGAAGGCGGUAGGGAAGUAAAGCUCGUUUACACGGGAUGAUAAUGACAGUACCGGGAGAAUAAGCACCGGCUAACUACGUG
rnacentral:rRNA from 1 species